AGAUUCUGUUUGUAUGAUCAAAGUAACAUUCAGGAAGACAAAAUUCCAGAUUGUAUUGUUCGCAUCAACCAUGAAAUUGCAUUAUUACAGGUCAAAGACAAACACUGUGGACCCUUAGAUAUCACACAUUUGUGCAGCUUUACUGAGGGAAAAGGUAGCAAAGACUGUCUGAGUGUAGAGUGGAUGCCAAUCCGCAAAAAGAGUUAUUGUGUUACAAUAUGUAUAGCAGAGAAGUUAACAAUACCAGGCAUUGUGUCAAACUUGAUGAUGUACAACUUGAAUGAUUGCUCCACUACUAAAGACAUGGUGAUGAAUAAGUUUGAGAAUGACAAGGAUGUAAGCUGUACGGGUUUGAAGGCUUCACUUAUAUGCCCU